rnacentral:lncRNA from 1 species
GGCACAAGGCACCAUUCAUUUUUUUCACUGAACAGUCUCACUACAGGGCCCUUUCUUCUUACAUGUGGAAGUUAGAAGCAGCCACAGUGGCACCUUCUAGGUCUGUGUGGUUUACUUCUAGGGGCCAGAGAAACUCCUGCCAGGGAUUUCCUGGGCAUGGACCCCCAACCCCAGGCAGCAGCUGGGGGAACUGGAGAGGCCUACACUGCUGGAGGGUGCCCACAGAGGGUAACAGAACCCAGGCUUUUUUUUUUUUUUUGAGACAGGGUUUCUCUGUGUAGCUUUGGAGGCUGUCCUGGAACUCACUCUGGAGACCAGGACACCAAGCUACACAGAGAAACCCAGUCUUGGAAACAAACAAACAAACAAACAAAAACUAGAAAAAACUAAAGUGGGAAUAGGAUAUGAUGGCUCCUGAGACCCCAGCGUUUGUGAGGCUGAGACAGAAGGAUGGCUGAGAGUUCAAGGCCAGCUUGAACUAUCCUUCUAGUUGAACAACUUAAUGUGAAAUUUGACCCAAGACUGGAUUUUGCACUUAGUAGCGAUUACAUAAAGUAAGAAUGUGAGGGCUAAAGUUAUGUUUUAAAUUUAAAUUGCUGUGCUUAAGUAGCCCAUAAAGCAAAAAUGCCUCUAACCUGUAAGCCCCACUUGCCCAGGGAAAAUAACUUCCUGGAAUGCUGGGAACUGUUGCUUAUGGAAGAUAACAAGCCACCAGUUUUGCACUUAGGUAAACAAGGUUGGUUGCCCCAAGUUCACAGGCUGUGCUUGAUCACCCCUAAGUGGGACGUGGGUAGACAGGAAGUAUGUAAGGAUGUGUGCUUGUCCCAGAUUGGAUGAAGGCAGGACGUAGGUAGCCUGGUGGGGUUUGCCUUUAUAUGCACUGGACUAAUUUAAUGUGUGACCAUUCUCUGGGAAUCUUGAAUAUGGACCUGGCCAGUGGCCAUUGUCCUGGUCAGAAAUUUAAAAAUGUUUGCUUCAAAUUCAGCUAAAAAAAUUGUGAUAGUGGUUUUAUUCUCGACUGGUGGGAUUAACAUUAAGGACUUCCUUGGAUCAAUAAACCCAAACUGCAAAAGAACGGAAAACAAGAAUUUCACAAAUUUCAUGUGAAACUCAAAUGUGUUGAUGUAGAUUUUAAAAUAGGUCUGGUGGUGAAGCACAGUUCAGAGUGACCACUCAGCAAUCGCGAGCCCUGGAUCUUCAGACAACAAAAUAGAAGGUGGGAGUGUAGUUCAGUUGGUUGAGUACCUGUUCGGCAUGUAUGGGGUCCUGGACUGGACUCCCAGUUGGGCAUGGGCUGGAGAAAUGACUAAGAAGUUAAGAUUGCUGCACAAUCAUGAGUACCAGAGUUUAGUUCCCAGAACUCACAAAACAGCCUGGCCCCCUACCGACAUUCUUACUAGAGCUCCGACGCCCUCGUCUGACCUCCAUGCACUGCACACACUGGUGUGUGUGUGUUUUCCUGCAGACACAUACA